rnacentral:ncRNA from 1 species
CAAAGGCCUGGUCCUGACUUUACUAUCAGCUUUAGUCCAAUUUAUACAUGCAAGUAUCCGCAUCCCUGUGAGAAUGCCCUCAUAUCCCCGCCCGGGAACGAGGAGCCGGCAUCAGGCACUCAUUACUAGCCCAAGACGCCUUGCUACGCCACACCCCCAAGGGAAUUCAGCAGUAAUAAACAUUAAGCCAUAAGUGAAAACUUGACUUAGUUAGGACUAAGAGGGUCGGUAAAACUCGUGCCAGCCACCGCGGUUAUACGAGAGACCCUAGUUGAUAUAUACGGCGUAAAGAGUGGUUUGGGAUAUAAUACUAAUAAAGCCGAAGACCUUCCAAGCCGUCACACGCAUCCCGAAGGCACGAAGCCCUAAUACGAAAGUAGCUUUAAAAACACCCCCGACGCCACGAAAGCUAAGAAACAAACUGGGAUUAGAUACCCCACUAUGCUUAGCCUUAAACUCAGAUGUUUGAAGUACAAACAACAUCCGCCAGGGUACUACAAGCGCUAGCUUAAAACCCAAAGGACUUGACGGUGUCUCAGACCCACCUAGAGGAGCCUGUUCUAGAACCGAUAAUCCCCGUUAAACCUCACCACCCCUUGCUUAUCCCCGCCUAUAUACCGCCGUCGUAAGCUUACCCUGUGAAGGACCCAUAGUAAGCAAAAUGGGCAAACCCCCAAAACGUCAGGUCGAGGUGUAGCUCACGAGGUGGAAAGAAAUGGGCUACAUUUUCUGUAACAGAAUAUCACGGACGACACCAUGAAACCAGUGUCUGAAGGUGGAUUUAGUAGUAAAAGACAAACAGAGCGUGUUUUUGAACCAGGCUCUGAGACGCGCACACACCGCCCGUCACUCUCCCCAUCACCCAAUUAAUACAAGUAAUUAACUAACUACAUCAUAAAGCGGGGAGGCAAGUCGUAACAUGGUAAGUGUACCGGAAGGUGCACUUGGAACAU